rnacentral:rRNA from 1 species
UACGUAGGGUGCAAGCGUUAUCGGAAUUACUGGGCGUAAAGCGUGCGCAGGCGGUUCGCUAAGACAGAUGUGAAAAUCCCCCGGGGCUUAACCUGGGGAACUGCAUUUGUGACUGGCGGGCUAGAGUAUGGCAGAGGGGGGUAGGAAUUCCACGUGUAGGCAGUGAAAUGCGUAGAGAUGUGGGAGGGAAUACCGAUGGCGAAGGC